rnacentral:rRNA from 1 species
AGCCCUACGGGGUGCAGCAGUUAGGAAUUUUCUGCAAUGUACGAAAGUAUGACAGAUUGAGUCAGAGUGCUUUUCAUAUGAAAAGCUUUUGCCAAAUGUAAAAAGUUUGGCGAAUAAGGACUGGGUAAGACGAGUGCCAGCCGCCGCGGUAAUACUCGCGGUCCAAGUCGCAGCCAUCAUUAUUGGGUCUAAAACAUCCGUAGCUUGCUUAAUAAGUUUCUUGUGAAAUUCCAUGUCUCAAAUAUGGAGCGGGCAAGAAGUACUGUUAAGCUAGAGACUGGAAGGCGUAAGAAGUACGUUUGGAGUAGCGGUAAAAUGUGUUAAUCCCAGACGGACUAACAACAGCGAAGGCAUCUUACGAGGACAGUUCUGACAGUAAGGGAUGAAGGCUAGGGGCGCAAAAGGGAUUAGAUACCCCUGUAGUCCUAGCAGUAAACACUGCACACUAAACAUUAGUACCUCCUCGAGAGGUGUUAGUGCUGAAGAGAAGUCGAAGAGUGUGCUACCUGGGAAGUAUAGUCGCAAGGCUGAAACUUAAAGGAAUUGGCGGGGAGACACUACAACGGGCGACGCGUGCGGUUCAAUUAGAU